rnacentral:rRNA from 1 species
GACUAAGCGUACACGGUGGAUGCCCUGGCAGUCAGAGGCGAUGAAGGACGUGCUAAUCUGCGAAAAGCGUCGGUAAGGUGAUAUGAACCGUUAUAACCGGCGAUGUCCGAAUGGGGAAACCCAGUGCAAUUCGUUGCACUAUCGUUAACUGAAUACAUAGGUUAACGAGGCGAACCGGGGGAACUGAAACAUCUAAGUACCCCGAGGAAAAGAAAUCAACCGAGAUUCCCCCAGUAGCGGCGAGCGAACGGGGAGCAGCCCAGAGUCUGAAUCAGCUUGUGUGUUAGUGGAACGGUCUGGAAAGUCCGACGGUACAGGGUGAUAGUCCCGUACACCAAAAUGCACAGGCUGUGAACUCGAAGAGUAGGGCGGGACACGUGGUAUCCUGUCUGAAUAUGGGGGGACCAUCCUCCAAGGCUAAAUACUCCUGACUGACCGAUAGUGAACCAGUACCGUGAGGGAAAGGCGAAAAGAACCCCGGCGAGGGGAGUGAAAAAGAACCUGAAACCGUGUACGUACAAGCAGUGGGAGCACCUUCGGGUGUGACUGCGUACCUUUUGUAUAAUGGGUCAGCGACUUAUAUUCUGUAGCAAGGUUAACCGUAUAGGGGAGCCGCAGGGAAACCGAGUCUUAACUGGGCGUUAAGUUGCAGGGUAUAGACCCGAAACCCGGUGAUCUAGCCAUGGGCAGGUUGAAGGUUGGGUAACACUAACUGGAGGACCGAACCGACUAAUGUUGAAAAAUUAGCGGAUGACUUGUGGCUGGGGGUGAAAGGCCAAUCAAACCGGGAGAUAGCUGGUUCUCCCCGAAAGCUAUUUAGGUAGCGCCUCGUGAACUCAUCUUCGGGGGUAGAGCACUGUUUCGGCUAGGGGGUCAUCCCGACUUACCAACCCGAUGCAAACUACGAAUACCGAAGAAUGUUAUCACGGGAGACACACGGCGGGUGCUAACGUCCGUCGUGAAGAGGGAAACAACCCAGACCGCCAGCUAAGGUCCCAAAGUCAUGGUUAAGUGGGAAACGAUGUGGGAAGGCACAGACAGCCAGGAUGUUGGCUUAGAAGCAGCCAUCAUUUAAAGAAAGCGUAAUAGCUCACUGGUCGAGUCGGCCUGCGCGGAAGAUGUAACGGGGCUAAACCAUGCACCGAAGCUGCGGCAGCGACACUAUGUGUUGUUGGGUAGGGGAGCGUUCUGUAAGCCUGCGAAGGUGUGCUGUGAGGCAUGCUGGAGGUAUCAGAAGUGCGAAUGCUGACAUAAGUAACGAUAAAGCGGGUGAAAAGCCCGCUCGCCGGAAGACCAAGGGUUCCUGUCCAACGUUAAUCGGGGCAGGGUGAGUCGACCCCUAAGGCGAGGCCGAAAGGCGUAGUCGAUGGGAAACAGGUUAAUAUUCCUGUACUUGGUGUUACUGCGAAGGGGGGACGGAGAAGGCUAUGUUAGCCGGGCGACGGUUGUCCCGGUUUAAGCAUGUAGGCUGGUUGUCCAGGCAAAUCCGGAUAAUCAAGGCUGAGGUGUGAUGACGAGGCACUACGGUGCUGAAGUAACAAAUGCCCUGCUUCCAGGAAAAGCCUCUAAGCAUCAGGUAACAUCAAAUCGUACCCCAAACCGACACAGGUGGUCAGGUAGAGAAUACCAAGGCGCUUGAGAGAACUCGGGUGAAGGAACUAGGCAAAAUGGUGCCGUAACUUCGGGAGAAGGCACGCUGGUGUGUAGGUGAAGUCCCUGCGGAUGGAGCUGAGACCAGUCGAAGAUACCAGCUGGCUGCAACUGUUUAUUAAAAACACAGCACUGUGCAAACACGAAAGUGGACGUAUACGGUGUGACGCCUGCCCGGUGCCGGAAGGUUAAUUGAUGGGGUUAUCCGUAAGGAGAAGCUCUUGAUCGAAGCCCCGGUAAACGGCGGCCGUAACUAUAACGGUCCUAAGGUAGCGAAAUUCCUUGUCGGGUAAGUUCCGACCUGCACGAAUGGCGUAAUGAUGGCCAGGCUGUCUCCACCCGAGACUCAGUGAAAUUGAACUCGCUGUGAAGAUGCAGUGUACCCGCGGCAAGACGGAAAGACCCCGUGAACCUUUACUAUAGCUUGACACUGAACAUUGAGCCUUGAUGUGUAGGAUAGGUGGGAGGCUUUGAAGCGUGGACGCCAGUCUGCGUGGAGCCAACCUUGAAAUACCACCCUUUAAUGUUUGAUGUUCUAACGUUGGCCCCUGACCGGGGUUGCGGACAGUGUCUGGUGGGUAGUUUGACUGGGGCGGUCUCCUCCCAAAGCGUAACGGAGGAGCACGAAGGUUAGCUAAUCCUGGUCGGACAUCAGGAGGUUAGUGCAAUGGCAUAAGCUAGCUUGACUGCGAGCGUGACGGCGCGAGCAGGUGCGAAAGCAGGUCAUAGUGAUCCGGUGGUUCUGAAUGGAAGGGCCAUCGCUCAACGGAUAAAAGGUACUCCGGGGAUAACAGGCUGAUACCGCCCAAGAGUUCAUAUCGACGGCGGUGUUUGGCACCUCGAUGUCGGCUCAUCACAUCCUGGGGCUGAAGUAGGUCCCAAGGGUAUGGCUGUUCGCCAUUUAAAGUGGUACGCGAGCUGGGUUUAGAACGUCGUGAGACAGUUCGGUCCCUAUCUGCCGUGGGCGCUGGAGAAUUGAGGGGGGCUGCUCCUAGUACGAGAGGACCGGAGUGGACGCAUCACUGGUGUUCGGGUUGUCAUGCCAAUGGCACUGCCCGGUAGCUAAAUGCGGAAGAGAUAAGUGCUGAAAGCAUCUAAGCACGAAACUUGCCCCGAGAUGAGUUCUCCCUGAGACUUUAAGUCUCCUGAAGGAACGUUGAAGACGACGACGUUGAUAGGCCGGGUGUGUAAGCGCAGCGAUGCGUUGAGCUAACCGGUACUAAUGAACCGUGAGGCUUAACCUU